rnacentral:snoRNA from 1 species
GUUGCUUCACGACUGGAAGAAUGGCCUGAUUAUCUAUUGUCUGGUCAUUCUGUAGAGGGAAGCAUAGAUUGAACAAGUAGCCAGAAUUAAACAGCAUGAUGCUUGUUUCAUUGCAUCCGUGUUACCUGUCUCCUGGCACAGUA